AUUAUGCAAAAAGGAAAUCUAAAUAAUUAAUGCUAGUCGACUCAGUAACAGUUGGACUCCACUUUCCAUAGUCUUUUCCCAUCAUCUGUCCAAUCUGUUCCCUUGGUAGCUGUUUCAUAUCCCCAUUACCUGCUAUCCUCUACAUUUCCUUCUUCACUUUGUAUUCUUCAAUCCGGAUCUCUGCUCUACCGUCCUUCCGGAAGAUCGUCUCUCCCUCGCACCAGGGAAUCCCCCAUAACUGUCACAGAGGGGAACUCCAUUUCACUCCUUAGUUUAACCGCCUGUAAAUCCGUAAGGGCUUCACAGCAAAUGGAGACUGAACAUUCCGGUGUAAAACUGUUUUCAUUGCCAUGAGUCGUCCGCCUCUGCCCCAGACCACCAGGCUGGAUGCCGACUUAAAAUUCCUACUAUCAAAUGCUGCGUCGAACUGAAUCGUCACGCUGGUUCUUCCCUCUUGAUACCUGUGACUACUACUCGGUUUUAAGGUACUUCCUUUCAUCCUCAACCCUUCGAGUUCAGCUAUGUAGUUUCAAACUUUAAGAGAUAAUUCCCUCCCUGUUUCUGUUUUCUGUUCAUGUAUGAAUUUAUUCCUUGAGUUCCAAAUAAACCACAUGCCACAACAGUAAAUCUUACAUUGCUCAGAGGUACUCGUUCUGAAAACCCAGGACAAUACCUAAAGAUGUGGGUGAUGUCUUCUUCCCCUCUUCCACAUCGAGGACAUGCCGCGUCAUUACUCACCCGUUUAUGUUUUAAAUUAGCUAGAGUUGGGAUAUAGUUCUAAGAUAUUCUCCAUAUUGUAAUUGCUAUAUUGGCAGGCAGUUGUAAAUUCCAUAGCUUGCCGUAGAAAUCCUUUAGAUUAGCUUAUAUUAAAUAAAAAUUAGGAUCCAAUCGAGCAUCUUGUAAUAGUUUGCAGGCGCCCCUUACUGAAAAAUCACCAGACUGCUCUCCCUUCCAUACUUUAAAAUCCUCGUGAGGUGUUUCUGCUGGUGGAAUUCGUAGAAUUUUCUGAGCAACAUCAACUGGAAAGAGAUAUUCUGGUUCCUCAUCCGACUCUCCAACACAACCUGUCCUGCAACAAUCGCUUAGCAGCCCAGACACUCUUCCAGGCGAGGGAACUGACCAGAAAACAGUCGUGUGGGUGCAAAAAUAGUAUUGGAUGACGUAGCUGCCUCCUAUCAGUCGAACAAACAAGAGAACCAAAAACAACAAAGACAAAAAUCUAAAAACGUGCCAAAGCGGCAGACAUCUGGCGUGCUAGGGUAGCAGGCCCAUAGGAGAAUUUUUUUUAAGGUUGAUGAUUAUUGUUAUUAUUAUUAAAUUUUAAUAAGAUUAUUAUGGAAAAUGAUUUAAUAAAAAUAUAA